CAGCCGCCGCGGUAAUACGAGGGGGGCAAGCGUUGUUCGGAAUUAUUGGGCGUAAAGGGCGCGUAGGCGGUUUGACAAGUUUCAUGUGAAAUCUAUGGGCUCAACCCAUAGUCCGCAUGGAAAACUGUCGGGCAUGAGUAUGGGAGAGGUGAGUGGAAUUUCCGGUGUAGCGGUGAAAUGCGUAGAUAUCGGAGGGAACACCUGAGGCGAAAGCGGCUCACUGGACCAUAACUGACGCUGAGGCGCGAAAGCUAGGGGAGCAAACAGGAUUAGAUACCCCGGUAGUCCCUGUCUCUUAUAC
rnacentral:rRNA from 1 species